UUCAUCUACGCCGCCCUGCAUGAUCGUGCCCUGAGGAGAGAAAGGCGAUUUCGCGAUCGCCUUGACCCUCUCUCCUUAAGUGACAGGGAGCUCGUGAGCCACUACCGGUUCCCCCCCGCAUUAUUUGAUUGAGCUCAUCCAGGAGGUUGAGCCUGCCCUAAGGAGGAGGACAAGGAGGUCACAUGCAAUACCGCCACACACACAAGUUUUGGUGACCUUAAGACUGUUAGCCAGCGGUUCCUUUCAGCACGUCAUAGGCGACGUAUGCGGACUUGCACAGGGCAGUGUCAGCCGUGUAGUCCAGGACGUGACAGCUGUGUUGAGUGACAUAGCUCGACAAGAGAUAAAAAUGACCUCCACGAUGCAUGCAUUGAUGGAAUCGGCAACAGCUUUUGCAAGAGUUCGGAGUUUCCCUCGGGUUAUUGGUGCCAUUGAUUGUACUCAUAUUUCCAUUAAGGCACCCCAUGAAAAUGAGGCUGCCUACGUGAACAGGAAGAGGUACCACUCUUUCAACAUCCAAGUUGUGUGUGAUGCUGCUGGUAUGAUCAUCAGCUAUUGUGUCAUUUCCAGCAGGGUCAAAUCACGACUCCUUCAUCUGGCACCAUUGCGACCUAUAUGAACGCUUUCGCAGGGGUGAGUUUGGGGACUACCUGCUCCUUGGUGCGUAUCUGGAGGGAUGUUGAUGUUCUUGACAAAUGUUGCAUUACAUAUGUUACAUAAAUACCUUUUCAGUAAAUACUUAGUGUGUUACAGUAGCUUUCUUAAGUAGUUAUUUCACAUCCUGAAAAUGAUAUCACAUGACUGUAAUCUUUACAGGCGACAGCGGCUAUCCAUUAGAGCCAUUUUUGAUGAC